rnacentral:misc_RNA from 1 species
GAUGAAGAACGUAGCGAAAUGCGAUACGUAAUGUGAAUUGCAGAAUUCAGUGAAUCAUCGAAUCUUUGAACGCAUAUUGCGCUCUCUGGUAUUCCGGAGAGCAUGCUUGUUUGAGUAUCAGUAAACACCUCAACUCCCUUUUCUUUUUUGAAAUUGGAGCUGGACUUGAGUGAUCCCAACGCUUUCUUCCAAGAAAGUGGCGGGUUGCUUGAAAUGCAGGUGCAGCUGAACUUUUCUCUGAGCUAUAAGCAUAUCUAUUUAGUCUGCCUAAAAAACAGAUUAUUACCUUUGCUGCAGCUAACAUAAAGGAGACUAGUUCUUGUGCUGACUGAUGCAGGAUUCACAGAGACAGAUUCGGCUGACUUUGUAAACUCGAUCUCAAAUCAAGUAAGACUACCCGCUGAACUUAAGCAUAUCAAUAAGCGGAGGA